UGAUAUCAGGGAUCCAAGUUCAGAAGCCGCCGUGCUUGCACGGGGCGGCUUCUGAAUUUGGAUCCCGCAAGACAUGAGGAAGCAGCGAUUUACGAAGUAAAUCAGCGGAUUCCGAAUGUCAUCGGAUUGCGGAGCAAUCCGGUGAUAUCA
rfam:Firmicutes bacterium CAG:24 genomic scaffold, scf311